rnacentral:ncRNA from 1 species
UGGCUCUGGAGAAUCUCAGAAAUGAGUACCGAAGGUGCAAGGCGGUUUUCCGCUGAAUCUCUCAGGUAAAAGGACAGAGUA